AUUCAGCCGGCGAGUUCCAAAUGGAAUGAAACGCGCGUCCUGGAU
rnacentral:hammerhead_ribozyme from 1 species